GUCCUACGGGGGGCAGCAGUGGGGAAUAUUGCACAAUGGGGGAAACCCUGAUGCAGCAACGCCGCGUGAGUGAAGAAGUAUUUCGGUAUGUAAAGCUCUAUCAGCGGGGAAGAAGAAAGACGGUACCUGACUAAGAAGCCCCGGCUAACUACGUGCCAGCAGCCGCGGUAAUACGUAGGGGGCGAGCGUUGUCCGGAAUCACUGGGCGUAAAGGGCGCGUAGGCGGUAAUAUAAGUCAGAUGUGAAAGGUGGGGG
rnacentral:rRNA from 1 species